UACGUAGGGCGCAAGCGUUGUCCGGAAUUAUUGGGCGUAAAGAGCUCGUAGGCGGCUUGUCACGUCGGAUGUGAAAGCCCGGGGCUUAACCCCGGGUCUGCAUUCGAUACGGGCAGGCUAGAGUGUGGUAGGGGAGAUCGGAAUUCCUGGUGUAGCGGUGAAAUGCGCAGAUAUCAGGAGGAACACCGGUGGCGAAGGCAGGUCACUGGGCCGCAACUGACGCUGAGGAGCGAAAGCAUGGGGAGCGAACAGG
rnacentral:rRNA from 1 species